rnacentral:misc_RNA from 1 species
UACGGAGGGUGCAAGCGUUGUUCGGAAUCAUUGGGCGUAAAGCGCGUGUAGGCGGCUUGGCAAGUCGGGUGUGAAAUCCCGGGGCUCAACCCCGGAACUGCUCUCGAAACUGCCUGGCUAGAGUCCCGGAGAGGAAGGCAGGAUUCCCGGUGUAGAGGUGAAAUUCGUAGAUAUCGGGAGGAACACCAGCGGCGAAGGCGGCUCUCUGGACGGUGACUGACGCUGAGACGCGAAAGCGUGGGGAGCAAACAGG